rfam:Ictidomys tridecemlineatus contig040417, whole genome shotgun sequence.
UGGGAUGUGACUCUGUGGUAGAGUGCUUGCUUAGCAAGCAUGAGGUCCUAGGUUCAAAUCCCAGUACCCUCC